UUCUCCACUGGAUGGUUUUAGCUCCUUUGUCAAAGAUCAAGUGACCAUAGGUUUGGGCUAUCCAGUAGAAUAUGGCCUACAUUCCAGAAGUCACACUGUCAAAGAAAACUGACUCUUCCUCUACCAGAAACCUUCAACUGUCCCUAUCUCUUCAGUUAGAGGCAUGGACUUAUGAACUCCUUCCAAUCGCAUGAUAAAAUGUUGACUGGACUGGUCUGGUGCAGGUCCUAUGCAGGCAGCCACAGCUGCUGUGAGUUCAUGAGUUGAUUUUUUUAUUUCUUUUCUGAUUCAGAUAAUGAAAACCUGUCAAAACUGAAUAAAAGAUAACUUAAAGGGAAUCACUGGGAAUAAAUUUCAAAUAUUUGCA